GGAGUUAAUAUUUUAUUUGCUACUUAUUUCACAUUAUAAAAUCACUGUGGAAAAUGUUACUAUAUUAAUUGUUAAAAAAAAUAAAAAUAAAAAAUUCACAGUUUAUUUGUUGGGAUGUCAUAUCUGUAUGUUAACACCUUAAAAUUCACUGCUUUUCCAAAAAUGUGUUCUAUAACCUCCGAGGAUUGCAAUCUGAAUCCCAUUGCUUCGUACAGGAUUUGAGCUGCACGUUGGCUAUGUGAGGUCCCCAAGAUCACGGCUUCACACCCACGUUUUCGUGCAAAAUCAAUGAGUGUCCUGCACAAGGCCUUUGCAAUCCCUUUGCCUCUAUGGCUCUGGGCAACUGACAUCCUUUUCAGUUCUAUAUGCCUUUCUCCUCCAGGGUAAAAGGAUGGUGUAGCCGCUACAGUACCCACGACUUCUCCAGCAGACUCAGCCACCCAGAAGCAGUAACCAUCCCUCUGCAGGUAGUACUUCUUGACAUCCAACAGGUCAUCGGAAAGGGCAUGUUUAACAUAAGAUAUAUAGAGAUACUGAGUGCCUAACCACAAACCAGCUAAAACCAGAAAAACAGACAGAACGGAGAUUAUAAAUGAACAUGAGGCCAGCAGAGGAAGAAGAAAAACACCAGUCAUAAAAAUCCAAAUGUGUGGAAGGGUGAGGGCAUGGCUGAAGGCCACUUGUGUGUGUUCCAGAAUGCCUUUUGCAAAGAGGUCUCUCACCCUGUCGUAAUCAGAGUCCUGGUACAGCCGGAUAUGGUAAUCAGACAUGUUUCCAC